rnacentral:rRNA from 1 species
UCAAGAAACUUCCACAAUGGGCGAAAGCCUGAUGACGCAACGCCGCGUGGGGGAUGAAGGUCUUCGGAUCGUAAACCCCUGUCGAAUGGGACGAAAGACUCGCGAGUGAAUACUUCGCGAGAGUGACGGUACCGUUAAAGGAAGCCACGGUUAACUCUGUGCCAGCAGCCGCGGUAAUACAGAGGUGGCAAGCGUUGUUCGGAAUUACUGGGCGUAAAGGGCGCGUAGGCGGCCCUCUAAGUCAGACGUGAAAUCCCCCGGCUUAACCUGGGAACUGCGUCUGAUACUGGAGGGCUUGAGUAUGGGAGAGGGAUGUAGAAUUCCAGGUGUAGCGGUGAAAUGCGUAGAUAUCUGGAGGAAUACCGGUGGCGAAGGCGGCAUCCUGGACCAUUACUGACGCUGAGGCGCGAAAGCUAGGGGAGUAAACGGGAUUAGAUACCCCUGUAGUCCCUGAGCGGGCUGGCAAGGCGCAU